rnacentral:rRNA from 1 species
GACGUAGGGCGCGAGCGUUGUCCGGAUUUAUUGGGCGUAAAGAGCUCGUAGGCGGCUUGUCGCGUCGACUGUGAAAUCCCGCGGCUCAACUGCGGGUCUGCAGUCGAUACGGGCAGGCUAGAGUUCGGUAGGGGAGACUGGAAUUCCUGGUGUAGCGGUGAAAUGCGCAGAUAUCAGGAGGAACACCGGUGGCGAAGGCGGGUCUCUGGGCCGAAACUGACGCUGAGGAGCGAAAGCAUGGGUAGCAAACAGG